rnacentral:rRNA from 1 species
GACGAACGCUGGCGGCGUGCUUAACACAUGCAAGUCGAGCGGUAAGGCCCUUUCGGGGGUACGACGAGCGGCGAACGGGUGAGUAACACGUGGGUGACCUGCCCUCAGCUCUGGGAUAAGCCUGGGAAACUGGGUCUAAUACCGGAUAUGACUCCAUGACGCAUGUUGUGGGGUGGAAAGCCUUGUGCGGCUGAGGAUGGGCCCGCGGCCUAUCAGCUUGUUGGUGGGGUGAUGGCCUACCAAGGCGACGACGGGUAGCCGGCCUGAGAGGGCGACCGGCCACACUGGGACUGAGACACGGCCCAGACUCCUACGGGAGGCAGCAGUGGGGAAUCUUGCGCAAUGGGCGAAAGCCUGACGCAGCGACGCCGCGUGAGGGAU